GGGGAGGGGGGCCGCGUUGAGUUUAAAGCUUCCAAAAGGUCUGAAAAGGAAUGCAGUUAGAACGGAAUCGACUACCUUCUUAAAUCUACAUUACUAUCUUGGGGAAAAUGAAAGCGCUCCCUCCGCGACCUCUUUUGCAGAGUUAGUUAGACCCUAUAACCUCGCCGACCCUGGUUAGGAACCCCAACGCCGGCCUCCCUCAGCGGACACCCCCGACUGCUACAUCUGCGGGACAAAAGGCAGCUGUGCCGCCUCGUGCGCUUUCCCAACCGAGCAAUGAUUACCAACCAUUGUACCACCAUGGAUCUUGAAGUUUGAAGAAUUUUGUCUACUAAACAUGAUAAAUUUAUUUGGACACUUGUCAUUAAAUUCAGGAAUCAACCAGAGAAUCCAGAAUUAACUCCUCGUCUCAAGAUCUUUAACUUAAUGACAUCUUCAAAGACCUUUUUCCGCAUAAGCUUUCUCUAGGAGAAGACGGAUGUCAUGCUGUGAGCAGUGCUAUGGAAAGGCCAACAGUGCAAGUUACCUAAAGGAGGCCUUUGGCAAUAGCCAUAGAGAAACUGAACCCUGCCAAUAAUCACGCGUCAGUGUACAAGUCAGUCCUCCCCCAGCUGAGCCUUUAGAUGAGACUGCAGCCCCUGCUGACAAAUAUUGGCUGCAGCCUUGUGAGAAAGACCAUGAGACAGAGAUACUCAGGAAAAGGCUUUUGCCUCACCCCCUGCUGUUCUUUCUGCUUUGACCAUGAACAUGACACUUGGAAGUGCAGAACUUCUUGCAACCAUGACCAUCGAGAGGAAAAACCAUAAGCGAAGAAUGGCGAAGCAGGAAACUGGAAGGUUCUUGGAUUCCUGAUGGCAUUGUUAAGCUUAUGGAAACUGAUGAAAGAAAAGGAUCAAUUUCAUCACUCCCUCCGCCCCCCAACCCCUCCAUGCUCCUGAAAUUGGCAAAAGUAAUGAAAGCAGAAAUUCUGUUUUUUAGUUUCAGAGUUCUGGUUUAUGUUAAAUUAAUUUGACUGAAAUGACUAGACCAAAAACUUUAAACAAGUACUCUUUCCACAUCCCCAUGUUUUUAUUUAAGAAACAGCACUGGAGAAAAUGUUGAAAAGGCAAUAGCUUGUGUUCUUAGAAUUUUAUGGGGCCAUUCUCAGCACUGAGUGUAUUUGUACUUAUAGCACAAAGCCACUGUGCUUACAAGUAGUUCAUGAGAUAAUUUGCUGUAGAGACAUUUCUGUUCUGUUUUAAAUAAAAACUUAUACUUUGAAGUGUUAUGAUGCACUAACUUUUAAAUAAUAAAGCAUUAAUUAAUUAGCCUUUGCCUUUGAUCUUGAAGGGCUCAUGUCGAAUACCAUGUAUUCAUCAUGGAAAUCAUGGACUUUCAUUUCUUAUAAGUGUUAGUGGGCUGCUGGUUGCAUCCAGAUAUUUUUUUUCCUCUAACUUGUUUUUGUCAUAAUUGUAGGUCCACCACAUGCUAUCCUUUUGUCUCAAGGCAUUUUCAGAUUCUUUGAAAAGAAAGACAUUUCUUUUUGUUUUUCUAUAAAAGAUUUUCUACUUCUAAUUAUUCGUCUUCACUCCAUUCUAUCCCCAAAUCUGGAAGCAAAAAUUCCUUUGGUUUUCUUAUUCAUGAGUGUGUUUAUAUAUGAACUGUCUCACUUUUACAAUAAAAGGUUAAUUGGCAAUGGUC